rnacentral:tRNA from 1 species
GGACAUUUAGCUCAGUUGGUUAGAGCUCCCGGCUCAUAACCGGGCGGUCAUUGGUUCAAGUCCAAUAAUGUCCACCA